rnacentral:lncRNA from 1 species
AUGUGGAGGGUGGCGGCGCGCCUUCAGGCUCCUCACACGCCUUCCCCAAUUAGGAUCUGCCGCCUGACGUCACGUCUGCCGGAGAUUGGCUGCUCAGGUCUGACACUCGGGGCCACGGGAGAGAAACUUUUAAAAGACUUCGCCGCCGGGGCUGCCUCAGAGUAUCCCGCGCGCUCUCUCUCGCUCUCGGCCACCCUCGCCGGGCCCCGCCGCGGCGCGCUGCACCCCCGGUCGGGCGCGCGGACCCUCACCUUGCACUGCCCGCUCCCUCGCCCCUCCCCGCUCCCCGGGCUACGCGCUCCCCACCCCACGCCCGCCCCCUGCUCCCCGCCACAAUCGGCCGGGGUCUGGGGCCGCUCAGCUGCCCGCAGAGCCUCCUCCCGCCUUUCCCGAGCUCUCGGCAGCUCUCGGGGAGCCCGAACGCGCGGGGAAAGGCGAGCCGCACGGCCGGGGGAGGGGGCCGGACCGCGCGCGGCCGGUCGCGCCGGCUGGGGCCCGCGAUGGCGGGGGCCUGGCUCAGGUGGGGCUCCUGCUCUGGGCAGGACUGCUCGCGUCGUCGGCGCACGGCCGGGUGCGGAGGAUCACCUACGUGGUGCACCCGGGCCCCGGCCUGGCAGCGGGCGCCUUGCCCCUGAGCGGGCCCCGCGUUCGCGGACCUUCAACGUCGCGCUCAACGCCAGGUACAGCCGCAGCUCGGCGGCUGCGGGCGCCCUAGCCGCGCCUCCCCCGGGGUCCCCUCGGAGAGGACCCGGCGCACGAGCAAGCCUGGCGGCGCGGCCCUGCAGGGGCUCAGACCGCCGCCGCCGCCGCCGCCGCCGGAGCCGGCGCGUCCCGCGGCCCCCGGCGGGCAGCUCCACCCCAAGCCCGGCGGCCACCCGGCAGCCGCCCCGUUCGCCAAACAAGGCAGGCAAGUCGUGCGCUCCAAGGUGCCGCAGGAGACCCAGAGCAGCGGGGGCUCCAGGCUGCAGGUUCACCAGAAGCAGCAGCUGCAGGGUAAGCCCACACCCCUUCCGCCCGCCAGCCUCGCGCGCGCCGCCCGCUGAGGGACCUGCGGGGUCAGGGCCACUCGGAGCCUGCGGUGGCCGGGGCGCUCGCGCGCGGUGGGUCGGCUUUCUCUCCCCGCCUCCGCCUGCGCUGAGCGCCGCGGGAAGAGCGGAGUGCGGGGAAGCCCAGGGACUUUUACUGACGUGA